GACGAACGCUGGCGGCGUGCUUAACACAUGCAAGUCGAACGGAAAGGCCCUGCUUGCCGGGUACUCGAGUGGCGAACGGGUGAGUAACACGUGGGUGAUCUGCCCUGCACUUCGGGAUAAGCCUGUGAAACUGGGUCUAAUACCGGCUAGGAGCCAUUUUUAGUGUGAUGGUUGGAAAGUUUUUUCGGUGUAGGAUGAGCUCGCGGCCUAUCAGCUUGUUGGUGGGGUAAUGGCCUACCAAGGCGGCGACGGGUAGCCGGCCUGAGAGGGUGGACGGCCACAUUGGGACUGAGGUACGGCCCAGACUCCUACGGGAGGCAGCAGGGGGGAAGAUUGCACAAUCGGCGCAAGCCGGAUGCAGCGACGCCGCGUGGGGGAUGACGGCCUUCGGGUUGUAAACUCCUUUCGCUAGGGACGAAGCUUUUUGUGACGGUACCUAGAUAAGAAGCACCGGCUAACUACGUG
rnacentral:rRNA from 1 species